AUUGAACGCUGGCGGCAGGCCUAACACAUGCAAGUCGAACGAGUGGCGGACGGGUGAGUAAUGUAUGGGAAACUGCCCGAUGGAGGGGGAUAACUACUGGAAAAGGUAGCUAAUACCGCAUACCAUCGGAUGUGCCCAGAUGGGAUUAGCUAGUAGGUGGGGUAACGGCUCACCUCGUCGACGAUCCCUAGCUGGUCUGCGAGGAUGACCAGCCACACUGGAACUGAGACACUGUCCAGACGCCUAAGGGAGGCAUCAGGGGGGAAUAUUGCGCAAUGGGGGCAACCCUGACGCAGCCAUGCCGCGUGAAUGAAGAAGGCCUUCGGGUUGUAAAGUUCUUUCGGUAGCUAGGCGUUAACUACAGAAGAAGCACCGGCUAACUCCGUGCCAGCAGCCGCGGUAAUAC
rnacentral:rRNA from 1 species